GCAGGUAAGGGCAAUCUGGCUGUGACUUCUGACACCCCACCAAUGGUCAACAUGGAUUCCACUGAUCUGGCUGGCUAGGUUGGUGUGUCCUUUCUCUCUCACCAGUUCAUGUCUGUCCCACCAAAACUCUGUGCUCGGCUGACAAAGACAAGCUUCCCAAUAGAAGACCAGUUUUUAGUCCAGUCCCUGGCUAGGACCGUCAAACAAGUUCUUAAGAAACAGAUUGGAAGGAUUAUGAAGUUAAAAAAAGAAUGAAAGAAAAGAAACAGGCUGCACAUGACACGGAAAUUCUCUGCUGACUU
rnacentral:snRNA from 1 species